AUUGAACGCUUGCGGCAGGCCUAACACAUUCAAGUCGAGCGGAGCGGCGGACGGGUGAGUAAUGCCUAGGAAUCUGCCUGGUAGUGGGGGAUAACGUCCGGAAACGGGCGCUAAUCCCGCAUACUAUCAGAUGAGCCUAGGUCGGAUUAGCUAGUUGGUUGGGUAAAGGCCUACCAAGGCGACGAUCCGUAACUGGUCUGAGAGGAUGAUCAGUCAAACUGGAACUGAGACACGGUCCAGACUCCUACGGGAGGCAGCAGUGGGGAUGAUGGGACAAUGGGCGAAAGCCUGAUCCAGCCAUGCCGCGUGUGUGAAGGAGGUCUUCGGAUUGUAGAGCACUUUAAGUUGGGGGGCUUUACCAACAGAAUAAGCACCGGCUAACUUCGGGCCAGCAGCCGCGGUAAUUC
rnacentral:rRNA from 1 species